rnacentral:lncRNA from 15 species
AGUGAAUUGUUACGAUCUUAGUAGAUAGUGUUUUUGUAUGAUCGUGUUUAGUGAGUAUCGUAAGGACGAGUGCAGACAAGUAAUAACAGAUACAGCAACAACAGGUAACUGACAUUUAAACACACAUAACCUUUCAAAAAUAUUCUGGUUUCAUACAUAGUAGAGUUAUAAAAGUAAUAAUAAUAAAGUUAAAUUCUUAUUAUUAUUAGUAGUAAAGUUUUAGUUCACCUAUGAGGAAUCAUUAACUGGUGAACACGCCUCAUAUUCCAGAGAACAAACACUCAUGUCAGUGAACCAGGAAACAAACUUUCUCAAACAAAGACAAAGUUAUUUUUGUUGCUCCUCUUGUGUCAUUUUUUUUAUCUCCAGGUGAUACAGCUGUGCAGUACUUCCUGAGUACCUGAGGUCACAUACUGACGCUGUGGAAGAAGGAGGCAGUCCUUCUGUCUACACAUCUCUCUCUCACCUCCUCGCAGCUCGGUCCUUUACCCACCCG